rnacentral:rRNA from 1 species
AUUGAACGCUGGCGGCAUGCUUUACACAUGCAAGUCGGACGAGUGGCGUACGGGUGAGUUACGUAUCGGAACGUACCGAGUAAUUGGGGAUCACUAAUCGACAGUUUAGCUAAUACCGCAUAUUAUUCGAGCGGCCGGUAUCUGUUUAGCUGGUUGGUGGGGUAAAGGCAUACCAAGGCGACGAUCAGUAGCGGGUCUGAGAGGAUGAUCAGCCACACUGGGACUGAGACACGGCCCAGACUCCUACGGUAGGCAGCAGUGGGGAAUUUUGCACAAUGGGCGAAAGCCUGAUGCAGCCAUGCCGCGUGUAUGAAGAAGGCCCUAGGGUUGUAAAGCACUUUCAGUCGGGAGGCGUUACCGACAGAAGAAGCACCGGCUAACUCCGUGCCAGCAGCCGCGGUAAUAC